UCGUGGGACCCAUUGCCAUGGGCGCCGAGUAUGCUUGAUUGCCAUGUCAGAGGCAAAGGUCCUAGAGCUUGGUGGUGUGUGUGUGAUUUUUUUUCUCCCGUUGCAAUGCAUCAAUCCAUUUAUUCAUGCAUCCAUCGAUUUACUUUGAAUUUUUUUUCAGUCGUCGAACAUUAGCUGGAUUGGUUCAUGGAUAUGCAGUGUGACAAGUCAUGUGAGAUGAAGGUAGUGAACUGUCUCAAUGUGAAGCCAAGUAUGUGAAGGAUAUGCCAUGGAUGAUGUGGACAG
rnacentral:lncRNA from 1 species